rnacentral:rRNA from 1 species
UGCAAGUCGAGCGGAUGACAGGAGCUUGCUCCUGAAUUCAGCGGCGGACGGGUGAGUAAUGCCUAGGAAUCUGCCUGGUAGUGGGGGACAACGUUUCGAAAGGAACGCUAAUACCGCAUACGUCCUACGGGAGAAAGCAGGGGACCUUCGGGCCUUGCGCUAUCAGAUGAGCCUAGGUCGGAUUAGCUAGUUGGUGAGGUAAUGGCUCACCAAGGCGACGAUCCGUAACUGGUCUGAGAGGAUGAUCAGUCACACUGGAACUGAGACACGGUCCAGACUCCUACGGGAGGCAGCAGUGGGGAAUAUUGGACAAUGGGCGAAAGCCUGAUCCAGCCAUGCCGCGUGUGUGAAGAAGGUCUUCGGAUUGUAAAGCACUUUAAGUUGGGAGGAAGGGCAUUAACCUAAUACGUUAGUGUUUUGACGUUACCGACAGAAUAAGCACCGGCUAACUNUGUGCCAGCAGCCGCGGUAAUACAGAGGGUGCAAGCGUUAAUCGGAAUUACUGGGCGUAAAGCGCGCGUAGGUGGUUUGUUAAGUUGGAUGUGAAAGCCCCGGGCUCAACCUGGGAACUGCAUUCAAAACUGACAAGCUAGAGUAUGGUAGAGGGUGGUGGAAUUUCCUGG